UUUUUUUUUUUUUUUUGAGAUAGGAUCUUGCUCUGUCGCCCAGGCUGGAGUGCAGUGGUGCAAUCACAGCUCACUGCAGCCUCAACCUCCCAAGCUCAAGUGAUGGUCCUAUCUUGACCUCCCGAGCUCAACUGAUCAGCCUACCUCAACCCCUAGAGUAGCUGGGACUGACGGGUGCCACCAUGACCCACUAAUUAAAAAACAAAAAAUUGCAGGGGGAUGGUCUUUAUGUUGCCCAGUCUUGCCCCAACUCCUGGCCUGAAGUGAUUCUCCUGCCUUGGCCUCCCAAAGUGCUGGGAUUACAGGCAUGAGCCACUGUGCCCGGCCUUGAAUAUGAUUGUUCAGUAACAUCUUCUGUCAUCCCUUCUCCUUGAAACUGGGUCACUGCCCUCACCACAGUGAGUGUUGCCUGCUGCCGCAUGGCUCCGCCUCCUUCCAACCUUCUGUGUUGGGGUAAGGAAGGCCAGGCCAGAGGGGGACACAGCCCUGACAAUGCUCUCUGGCACUGUCCCUUCUGCCUCAAGGGGUGUGACGCCCAGGGAAUUCCCUGCCCUCACCAGUGGACCCCAAACCCACAGUGUGAAUGCGUCUCUCACCACGCUAGCAUUGCUGACCUCCACGGCAUGGCAUCAGCUACUCUACCCAAUUUACCCAUGGCAGCAACUGUGUCCUAUCACACAACAGCCUCAGAUUCCAGGUCUACCUGGGGCACACCUGGGCCUGUCUUUAGCUUCCUCCCAUCUCCUUUUAUAUUAUUUUCCCUUCUUCUUUCCCACCCUGGUCAGCACUUCCAAAGAACCUGCCCCAAACCCAGAUGUCAAGGUGAACUUUUGUGUUGGUAAAAUGUGGUCACUCCAGCUGCCAGGGCUGGGUGCUUGCCUAUUGGACAUGGGCAAGGGGAGGCCUGGGGGCUGGAGCAGGAGGAAGGAGCCACCCAAAAGGGCAUACAGGGCUCCCCAGAGGAACCCAGCCCUACGGGUGGAGCUUUCUUCCGCCCUGGGUUCUUCUGCCGCAGGGACUUAGAGGCAGUUGCCCAACUGGCAUCUCCCUUUCCUUUCAGUCAUUGAAUAACCGGAUUUAAACAACCUGCCCUCAACCCCCAAAAAGGUGCAAUCUGACUGCAGCUCAAAACAACAUUCCAGCCAUCCUAGGGGAAAGGAGUUUAUAAAUAUUACUUGGCUUCCAUGUGCAUCACUGAGCUCCUUCAUAAAUCAGGGCUUGGGGCUCCUGCACUCCCAGACUAUACAAAGCUCGCCUCUGACUCCCGUGUUUCCAAUUUUAAAUCAAAUGCAGCCCAGCCCUGCCGGCUCCUGUUUAUCCUC
rnacentral:lncRNA from 1 species